ensembl:lncRNA SLC6A17-AS1 SLC6A17 antisense RNA 1
GUGAACAAUCAGACUGUGGCAAGAACACUGCCCUGGGUGUGAGUGCUUGUGUGUGGCAUAGAAAGGGAUUCUGGAAUUCAUCACCAAGUGCCCAGGCAGAACUGAUCAUCUAAGCUAGAAAGAACAAGGUUAGAAGUUCCCAGCUAAGUCCUCCAAUGCCACACGUCCUUUGAAGUCAUUUUGGUUGCCUUGGAGCUCUUCUCAACAUCUCACAGGGCAUAAAGAAACCAUAUACUUGUAUAUCUUUGCUUUGGGCUAGUCUUACAUCAACUCAGUUACCAUGCCAUGCAGGCCACAAGCUCUGAUUGACAGUUACUUAUUAAAAAGUAAAAAAGAUCUUUCAAGCAAGGAGACCAUGCAGCUAAUAUAACAUGCUAUGGGGGAAAGAUGGAAGCCUUUGGCCUAAUUCAAUCACAAGAGUUCAGGUAGGGGAACCUCCAGAUGUUGCCGAGGCCCACAGAGAAGCCAAUCUGGGCCAGGAUGUACUGCAGCUUACUGUUCCAGGCCGGCCGGUCCUCUGCAUCCAGCUCCUCCUCCACCGCCUUCUGCUUGCCGCCUGCCUCACCAGCCACAUUCAGUACACUCUGCUUAUAGUCCACAGGCUCCUCGAGGGCCAGCAGGUCGGCCACGGACUCAGUGACAUGCUCACUGCUGUGCUCACGCUGGGUCACUUUGCUGUUCUUCGGCAUUGAUGCCACCUGGGCCGUGUAGCCCUGCUCCCCAGCACACAGAGAAGAUGGAAUUCAGCUGCUGUCAGCUCCUUCUCAUUCAGGGACCUAGGAAACCAGGAUCCCCAGGUGAUUUAAAAAAAAAAAAAAGGCUCUUGAGCCAUCACCAGGGGGCCCCUGGACACCAGUGCCGAUGGCAUCUCCAUUCCCCUAGCUGGACUGGUUGACCAGGCUCAGCUAAAGAUUCUGGCACCAGAAGCCAAGGGCUGUUUGCUCAGUGCCAAUGAAUCUUGGGUCAUUGCUCAGCACUGACAUUAUCUGAGGACUUCUGCAGCCAAGAGCUGGUUCUCCAUCCUUCAGCGACAGUUUUACAGCAGAUAAUGUCUGCACGACAUGGGCGGAGGAGGCAAAACCCUCCCCUACUCCUGCCAGUCCUCAUUUGUCUUUCAUGCUUUCCCUUAAAGAAAUAAAGCACCAAGAAAACGAA